UCUCUCAGCAAAACAAUUUUUCAUUUACUGGAAAGAACUGCAUUCACGCUAUUUGCUUCAAAUCCAGGUAGCCCACCCACACAGAAGUGUACCAUGAGCAAAACAAGAGAAAGUUCAUCGAGUCUCCAGCAGCAGUCCCCAGGCUUUGCAAGGCUGAGGCCCAUUUAAAAAUAACUGGAGAAGAUGAUAGCUGUGGUUUAUUAAAACCUGGAAUCCUGAAGCCAUAGAAAAGAGAAUCACAGGGUGUUACAAUGCCAGGAGUGGGAAAAGAUUGCUUAAAAUUAAUAUUAACUAUAGCAAAGGAAGAAAUUUAAGGACAGAAAGGCAUAAGCAGUGACUUCAGAGAAAACAUUUGUAUCAUGGCCAAGUAUUUCUCGUGGAUGAGCCCCCAAGGUAAACAUUUCAAAGGACUCUAGGAAAGGAAUAAAAGAUGUUUGCAUCACUGUAGGAAGAUGGAAUGAGUUGCCUAUGAGGAGCACUACACCUCUAACCUCAGUGGCACUAGGAAAUAAAAACCUACAAAUGUUUCUUCUCUGCUUCUUGCACUGCCCACUCAGUGCAGUCAGCUUUCACUGCUGAUUCCUUCUGACAGACUGCAGUCAGCGAAGGGAGGCUGGGUCUGCACUGCUCCUUGUGUACUUCUGAGCAUCCCUCACCCCCAUGCAGUGAGUGUACUUAUCUGGGCACCUCAAAACCAGUUACACUCAUGGAGACUACCCAGAGCACAAUAAACAAACACCCUUCCUGCCAUGACAUGUCCCCCUCUCUCUGAAGUGUCCCCUAAGCCGGGGAUCCAGAGUGAGCAGUGGGGGAGAUGUAGAACCCCUGAUGGUUUUAACUCUGUGCAGCACCAGAAAAACUGAGCUGUAGCUUUUAAACUGCUGUUGCUUCCUUCUUGCCUUCCUGUUCACCACUUAAGAGUCAUUUAACAGUAGUGUUAGUGGUCUGUUUAAUUGCUGAUUAUCUUAACCAAGCAACCUAACUGAGUAAAUGCAAAUUCUGUACUUUUAGCUCUGAGUGAAAAUUAUGAAGUCUCAUGAAAUACUCUGCCAAAAAACAGAUGUAGUAAGGCAAGCUGAGCAGCAAAAAAUACAACACAGAUGGUCACGAUAAAUUAAUUGAAGACACAAGGCGGGGAGAUGCAAAAAAAUGCCAUGGAGCCUAUAAGUAGACAGAUGU